rnacentral:rRNA from 1 species
CCUACGGGGGGCAGCAGUGGGGAAUAUUGGACAGUGGGGGGAACCCUGAUCCAGCCAUGCCGCGUGUGUGAAGAAGGCCCUCGGGUUGUAAAGCACUUUCAGUGAGGAAGAACGCCUGGUGGUUAAUACCCAUCAGGAAAGACAUCACUCACAGAAGAAGCACCGGCUAACUCCGUGCCAGCAGCCGCGGUAAUACGGAGGGUGCGAGCGUUAAUCGGAAUUACUGGGCGUAAAGCGCGCGUAGGUGGCUUGAUAAGCCGGUUGUGAAAGCCCCGGGCUCAACCUGGGAACGGCAUCCGGAACUGUCAAGCUAGAGUGCAGGAGAGGAAGGUAGAAUUCCCGGUGUAGCGGUGAAAUGCGUAGAGAUCGGGAGGAAUACCAGUGGCGAAGGCGGCCUUCUGGACUGACACUGACACUGAGGUGCGAAAGCGUGGGUAGCAAACAGGAUUAGAUACCCGUGUAGUC